rnacentral:rRNA from 1 species
CAGCAGCCAGGUAAUACGUAGGGUGCAAGCGUUAAUCGGAAUUACUGGGCGUAAAGCGUGCGCAGGCGGUUAUAUAAGACAGAUGUGAAAUCCCCGGGCUCAACCUGGGAACUGCAUUUGUGACUGUAUAGCUAGAGUACGGCAGAGGGGGAUGGAAUUCCGCGUGUAGCAGUGAAAUGCGUAGAUAUGCGGAGGAACACCGAUGGCGAAGGCAAUCCCCUGGGCCUGUACUGACGCUCAUGCACGAAAGCGUGGGGAGCAAACAGGAUUAGAUACCCCGGUAGUCCCUGUCUCUUAUACC